GACGUAGGGCGCGAGCGUUGUCCGGAUUGCUUGGGCGUAAAGAGCUCGUAGGCGGCUCGUUGCGUCGGCUGUGAAAACCCGCAGCUCAACUGUGGGCCUGCAGCUGAUACGGGCGGGCUGGAGUUCGGUAGGGGAGACUGGAAUUCCUGGUGUAGCGGUGAAAUGCGCAGAUAUCAGGAGGAACACCGGUGGCGAAGGCGGGUCUCUGGGCCGAUACUGACGCUGAGGAGCGAAAGCGUGGGGAGCGAACAGG
rnacentral:rRNA from 1 species